AAAAUGGCCGUUCUAAUGUGGACGUCAGGAAUAUUAUUUUGCUUGUUGGCAAAUACCAUGGUUAAUGCUGAUAUGCAAGACCAGGACAGGAAAAAUUCUCAGGAUUAUAUUGUACACCAGGAAUCCAUGAGCGAAUCUCAAAUUAGUUCUGAAAGUCCAAGGACAACAUCGAUGAAUGAUGUCAAUUCAGAUAUGCAUGGGAAAAUUGACUUAACCUACAGUAAGGAUGGGAACAGUGAUCUUAAUAAUGAUAUUGUUGAACCCUCAAAUUCUGAAGAUGUAGAUUUAGGGCAGACUUCCACAUCACAACAAAGAAAAAUUCCUGAUAAGAAGGAAGAACCCAUUGAAAGUCCUGAAGUUUCUGUUACAAACAAGAGGGAGGAGGUUGUGCAUGUUUAUCAAGAAGAGAUUGAGGUUGUUAAAGAUGAAAAUGAGGUUCCAUAUGAUAGUACAGAGGAUGGAAUGAAGGAGAUAAAGGAAGCUGAUGCAAGUGUUGAAAGUACAAACCAGAGUUAUAGAUACUUGUCAUUUGGAAACAUUCUCAAAAGCAUUGUAGACCCUGUGCUAGAAGGCAGUUCUGAAGUGUUGGCUGAUAUGCCAUCCUUUGACAGUAAUGACUCCUCUCUGAAUCCCACUCAAGUUGUGGAAAAUACAACAUUAGACAAAUCUGUAGAUGAUGAAGAACUAACAAAUAAAACAGAUAAAAAGGUCAGGUUUCAGUGUAGUGGCAAGAACCUUACAGACACAAAUGUAACUACUGAAACAGUAAAAAUUGUUAACAAUACAGGACUAUUAAAUGCACUUAACUUUGACAAGAAUGAAAGUAUAUCAGACUGUGUUCUGGUAUUGUUUUUUGCCCCAUGGUGCCCGUUUUGUGCCAAAAUGGCACCAAACUACAAUGCCUUAGCCAGAGCGUUCCCCCAACUUGAGGUGUUGGCUGUGGAUGCUGCACAAUUCAGCAAUCUUAAUGCAAGGUUUGGAACUGUGUUGGUGCCUAACAUUCUGCUGUUUCACCAGUCCAGGGCAUUAGUCCGCUUUAACCAGACAGACAAAAGUUUUGACAAUUUGGCAUCGUUUGUCAGGAAUAUUACAGGUUUGGAGCCGAACACUUCGGUGAAUGUUACAGAUGAGGAUUAUGAUGGGCCCCUGUCCAGUAUACCAACAGAGGAGUCAGAUUAUUUACUGUGGGUUGCAUGGCUUUUUGUCCUUACCUUCACCUGUAUUGUUUUUGUCCAAUCUGCCUAUGGCCAGCAGUGUAUCACUAAGGUACGCAUACUCUGGCAGGAACAUCAGCAUAUAGACUGACCCUCCAGUGGUCAAGGAAGUCUAGGAAAGUACAUGGUGCUUGCCAUGUAUACAUGGAAACCAACACAGAUAUACUGCCCAGUGGUCACUAGAGAUCAAAUCUCUGUUUACAGUACAUGUAUUAGUAAGUUAGCAGAGAUACCAAUGAUGAAUGACACGAGAUGGCAGAGACACCAUCCAUGGCCAGCACUCAUUAUCAUUCAAAGAUGGUAAAAAAUAAUGACCAUGCAACACUGUAGCCUUAAAUCAGUGUGCCUCUAAUAUGGAAAAGUUACCUUGGCUGCAAAUAAACUGUAGAUACAUUGAUAAGAGGUCAAUAACAAAUAUUGAAAACUGAAACAACAUUUGAAAGUGAUGUACUGCUUUGAAAAAAACCAAUGUGAUAUCUGUACUGAACAGUCAGCUGCAGUGAAAAAUCACACUGCCUGUGACGAUCAAAAUAAUCUAUGAUUGUGGUGUCUAAUAUUCCAGCACAGUACAUAAAUUCCUGAUAAUUCUAUAUCUUCUCUGGAAUUGUAAAUGUACAAAUUCAAUGGAUUACUGUUCAAGAUUACAAACUUUUAUUACAUGUGCAAUUUCUUAGGUCACCUGAAACAAAGUCUCAUGGUUGACCUAUUGCGAUCACCUUCAUCUGACAUUUUGAACUUCUCAAAAACGUCUCAACCGAUUUCAAUGAAAUUUUGUAGAAACCUUCCCUGGCCUAAGAUGAAGCAAAGUAGUGAGAUGGGGCAAAAGGUGUCAAAUUUACUUAAAUUUCAAAAAUCUUCUUCUCAACACCCAGAUACGGUAGUAUCGAAUGCUCUUCAUGGAUAGAUGCGUCUUAGGUGAUUUACCAAAAGCUGUGAAUUUCAUGGCUCCAAGGUCUUACAUUUCCCUAUUGGGAGGGGGUAAAGUUUACUUUAGUUUAUAAAGUAAAUAUAGAUUUUUGAGUAUAAUUUGUGUAAUUUACAUUGGAAAUAUUUCAAACGGGUAGAAUUAUGAAUAAAGGAUGACAGCUAAAUGGUAAGAAUAGAUUGAUCCUAACUGACCCCUAGGGGCUGUUGGACAGGGCCAGUUUGGGUCAAAUUGACUUAAACUUCAAAAAUCUUCUCAACACCCAGGUAUGGUCGAAUCAAAUACUCAUCUAGGAUGAAAGCGUCUUAAGGUGCCUUAACUACCAAAAUGGCUCUCAUUUCUUCCUGGAGUGGCGAUUAACUUUACUAUAAUUUAUAUCGAAAAAUAGCAUUUUUGAUCAUAACGUUGUUUAUUUCUCACUGGAAAAAUUAUUAGUAUAGGCUGAAAGUUUUGAUGGUAUGCAUGUAUUGACACUGGUUUACUAUCAUCAGUGUCACAAUUUCUUUUUCAUGACUCUUGAAAGUUACUUUCCCUUUCACCUUUAUAUUCAAUGUUACUCAGAUGAAUUCAUAAACAAAUGUAUUUAUGAUUUUCAAUGAGAAAUAAUUGAAUGGCUGCCAUAUUCUAUAUGAUUUUUGAGAUGUCAAAGCUUAUGUUGUCAAAAUGUAUGUUAACUGUAAGAUGCACUUACCGUAAGUAAAAAUAUGAUUUAAAAAAUUUAAAAAGUUUAAUCAUCCAGGUGAGAUUGAUGAGUAAGGUAGGUUGAAAUCAAUUGGCUAGUUCCAUGUUUCAGCUGAAAGAUCAAACUUAUAGAAUAAUAAAGGUAUUUAUGUAUUAGUGUAAGACGAGUAGGUUUCCUAUACUGUUCUAUAGCUUCUACAACAUCAGUAGGACAGCAGACAUCAGAGUACAUUUUGUAAUAAAACUUAUAUUCACUUUGAUAUGAUAGUCAGAUCAAGCUAUAAGGCUGUGAUAUAUUUGUUACUGUUGUCUGCACUUCUUCAUUCCUGUCAUUUAGUUCUUGGUUACAUCUCAGAAGGAAACACAACUUUGUUCAACUUACAACAAACUUAUAUCUCUGACUCCACAGUCAUAUAGACAUGGUGCUAUCUAAUUGCAUAAGUUUGAAGACACGCAGGAUAACUUUAUUCACAAAGUCAUAAUAAACGUUUUGUAACAAACAUGAUGUCAGCUUCUAUUACACAGUUGUAGUCCCGACAAUUUCACAUUUGGGUAUAAAUGAUACUUUUACAUUAAUAUAGUCAAAAUUUGUUUAAAGUCAUUUAAUGGUUGUUUUUUACAUGUGAUGUAAAUGCAUUAGGACCACAGAGAAACAUAAGUCUCCUAUGAGUAUUUAUUAAGCAAAUUAGUCAUUGUUAAGUAUCGCUGAAAAGGUAUGUAAAGGCUUUAAAAGUGUUAGAUGGUUAUUUGUAUUCGUUAGGUCUAAAUGUGUUAGAUGGUUAUUUGUAUUCGUUAG